CCUACGGGUGGCAGCAGUGGGGAAUAUUGGACAAUGGGGGGAACCCUGAUCCAGCCAUGCCGCGUGUGUGAAGAAGGCCCUCGGGUUGUAAAGCACUUUCAGUGAGGAAGAACGCCUGGUGGUUAAUACCCAUCAGGAAAGACAUCACUCACAGAAGAAGCACCGGCUAACUCCGUGCCAGCAGCCGCGGUAAUACGGAGGGUGCGAGCGUUAAUCGGAAUUACUGGGCGUAAAGCGCGCGUAGGUGGCUUGAUAAGCCGGUUGUGAAAGCCCCGGGCUCAACCUGGGAACGGCGUCCGGAACUGUCAAGCUAGAGUGCAGGAGAGGAAGGUAGAAUUCCCGGUGUAGCGGUGAAAUGCGUAGAGAUCGGGAGGAAUACCAGUGGCGAAGGCGGCCUUCUGGACUGACACUGACACUGAGGUGCGAAAGCGUGGGUAGCAAACAGGAUUAGAUACCCCUGUAGUC
rnacentral:rRNA from 1 species